rnacentral:rRNA from 1 species
UUUCGCAAUGCCCGAAAGGGUGACGAGGCGACGCCGCGUGAGCGAAGAAGGCCCUAGGGUUGUAAAGCUCUGACGGGGGUUAUGAAAUGUGGAUCGGUUAAUACCCGGUUUAUUCGACAAAGGCCCCAAAGGAAGCCACGGCUAACUCUGUGCCAGCAGCCGCGGUAAUACAGAGGUGGCAAGCGUUGUUCGGUAUUAUUGGGCGUAAAAAGCACGUAGGUGGUUUUGUAAGUCAGAUGUGAAAGCCUUCUGUUCAAAGGAAGAACGGCAUCUGAAACUGCGAAUCUUGAGUGUAGGAGGGGAGAGUGGAACUUCUGGUGGAGCGGUGAAAUGCGUAGAUAUCAGAAGGAACGUCGGCGGCGAAAGCGACUCUCUGGCCUAUUACUGACACUGAGUGUGCGAAAGUUAGGGGAGCAAACGGGAUUAGAUACCCCGGUAGUCCUAACUGUAAACGAUGGGCACUAAGUAGAGGGGUUUU